GAUGAAGAACGCAGCGAAAUGCGAUACGUAAUGUGAAUUGCAGAAUUCAGUGAAUCAUCGAAUCUUUGAACGCACAUUGCGCCCGCUAGUAUUCUGGCGGGCAUGCCUGUCCGAGCGUCAUUUCAACCCUCAAGCCCCCGGGCUUGGUGUUGGGGAUCGGCGAGCCUCCGCGCCCGCCGUCCCCUAAAUCUAGUGGCGGUCUCGCUGUAGCUUCCUCUGCGUAGUAGCACACCUCGCACUGGGAAACAGCGCGGCCACGCCGUUAAACCCCCAACUUCUGAACGUUUGACCUCGGAUCAGGUAGGAAUACCCGCUGAACUUAAGCAUAUCAAUAAGCGGAGGA
rnacentral:misc_RNA from 1 species